rnacentral:rRNA from 1 species
UACAGAGGGUGCGAGCGUUAAUCGGAAUUACUGGGCGUAAAGCGCGCGUAGGCGGCUUUUCAAGUCGAUUGUGAAAUCCCCGGGCUUAACCUGGGAACUGCAGUCGAGACUGUCUAGCUAGAGUAUGGGAGAGGGAAGUGGAAUUUCAGGUGUAGCGGUGAAAUGCGUAGAUAUCUGGAGGAACACCGGUGGCGAAGGCGGCGUUCUGGACUGUUUCUGACACUGAAAAACGAAAGCCAGGGGAGCAAACGGG